GGGCCCGCACAAGCGGUGGAGCAUGUGGUUUAAUUCGAUGAUACGCGAGGAACCUUACCAGGGCUUAAAUGUAGUAUGACCGGUCUAGAAAUAGACCUUCUCUUCGGAGCAGAUUACAAGGUGCUGCAUGGUUGUCGUCAGCUCGUGCCGUGAGGUGUUAGGUUAAGUCCUGCAACGAGCGCAACCCCUAUUCUUAGUUGCCAGCGGUUCGGCCGGGGACUCUAAGAAGACUGCCAGCGCAAGCUGAGAGGAAGGUGGGGAUGACGUCAAAUCAUCACGGCCCUUACGUCCUGGGCUACACACGUGCUACAAUGGUAGAGACAGAGGGCAGCCACCUGGUGACAGGGAGCGAAUCCUUAAACUCUAUCUCAGUUCGGAUCGGAGUCUGCAACUCGACUCCGUGAAGCUGGAAUC
rnacentral:rRNA from 1 species